UCCUGAGGCUUUUCUUAUCUUCAUUGCAGCUGUCCAAGAGUCAAGAUCUGAGGAACAGGAAGGCAGACGUCUCAUUGACCAAAUAUAGCAGAUAUCCUCCUUUUCAUGCAGGGUCCUGGGAUUGUGAACCACACGAGGGCUGCCCUUGGCAACAGCCUGGCCUUGAGUUGUCCCUCCCGGCUCUUACCAACCAGCACAACAUGGGGAAGCAGACCAUGAAAUCUGGCAGAGCCAAAAUUAACCGAACAUCUGGAUCAGCCAGGGAGGGCAAAAUAGCAUUUUUCAAAGACCACCUUGUUCUCCCUUUGCCUUGCCCUUUGGGAAGAUGGGACUGGCCUUUUGGCAGCUAAAUGUCUCCUUGGAGGAUCUUCUAAAAAGGCUUUGAAAAGUCAGAUUCAGAAAAUUCACCCUAUGCCCCUCCACGCACACUGGUGAUACUCAAGGCACAUCUGUAGAGCAGGAGUGCAGGACUCGAUGGGAGAGAAAUAUUUUCAACAACUGUAUUUUUGUAGGAAUCCUCCAUAGAUCCCUGCUCUUGGGAAUCUAAUGCCCUCAAAUGCACAACUCGGCAGCCGACGAGCAAGCUGAUAAAGCAUUCCUUGCAGAUACUUAAUGGGUACAUUCUGUAUCUCCGUCUGCAUCUUUCUGUCUGCCUAUCUCUUUUUUUUUUUCCCCUUAGCACACUUGGAGGAAGGUAAGAAAACAAAACAAACUGAAAGAACUACCUCUUCCCUUCAUGUUUAUGGUUGCUUUUCCAGAAGUCAUUUCCAUUUAUGGAAAUAACUUCUCUAAAUUUCUCCCAUUUCAAGGGUUCAAGAUCCCUAUUUUAUUUCAAGUUGCUUCAGCUGAAUAGGGCAAAAUGGAAAAAGCCCACAGGACAUCAGGACAUGCUGCACACCUUGGGUGAUGAGGCAGCUUCAUGCAAGGCAGGUCUGACAUGGCAGGAUGCUUUCUGCAUUGCCGGGUCAGCUCCAUCACUUUUUUGGGCACAGAUAGCAGAGUUCACUGGAGGAAAAGCAGUUUACAUUACCCUCCAAAACUACAAGUCCUCACCACAAUUGUUGUGGUACAAUAACUGAAAUAAUAAUAAGAGUGUGGAACAAAGGAGAGCCUUUAUUGUAAAGAAGAUAGCAAGGGGUAGUUUUUUAUUUUGAGGCUAUUAAUUUUUGUACAAAGGGAAGCUGAUAAGGUUGUGUCAUUUGCACAUCUUCCAGUAGAGAGCUAGGACAUUUUAAAAUCAUUGGCUCAUUCUUUAAGAAGGCAAAUACAGUAAAAACAUAUUAUGUAGUAAAAUUACUUUAAAAGUUCUCAGUUCUAAAAUAUAUACAGAAAUCCUCCUCAGAAAUAUUGUUUUAAUUAUUACCUGUAUUUCCCCAAAAGUAAAGGCAACAUAGCUUCAUAUCAUCAUAACUCUUUUUUGCAGCAGAAGUGUCAGAAGAGACAUUUUUUUUUUCCUCAAGGAAAAUAACUUCUGUGUUUGGUGAAAAUGAGGUAACUGUCUUCAGCCAGUGGGUGAAAUAGAAAUUCUUCAGCUUACUUUUGCAGAGAGCUUCUCUGCUGGGUACAAAUAACUGCCCAAACUGCCAAACUCAUUUGUAUCUUGCUGCUUGUGUACUUCAAUUGCCCAGUGUUUUGCAACUGUUCAAAAAACCGCAACCAUACUUAUAUAGGUAGAGUACUGCUGACUCCCAAAUUGCCUCUUUACAGUCAUUUUGCACCUGUAAGAAUGCCUAUUUAUGGUGCAACUGUAACGCUGAACUGGAUUUAAGAUAUUAACAAAGCUGGAUCUCACAUUUUUCCUGUGGGGUCCAAAAUCUCUAUUCUCUCUCGUGUAGGCAUAUUUCUACCCUGAUCAGAGCCUUAAUGAAGUCAGAAAAGGACCAGAAAUGCUCAGGGAUGCACCAGCUUUGAUAGUAGAUCAGGGACCCAGCAGGCCAUGGCAACCUGCCCACUUUUAAUGGAAUGAAUCUCACAGGAAAUUUUGCGUAAAAUUCAUUGUCAAAACAGUGCCAAGUCAGAUCCUUCAGUUGUAACAGAAGAAUCAAAAUAUGGCUCUGCAGGGAGCUGAAAGGACGAUAGAUGCUGCUGCUGUGUGGCUACAAAUGCCACAUGAUGCAGUGAGAAGCUGAGAGGGGUAUUUUCGAGAAAUUAUUGUUAGAAAGGCUGUGCAUAAUACAGCAAUGGGGAGAACUCGAGAAAGUUUGCAGCACAAUGAGUAACACGUAGAUGAAGCUGAUAAACAGUUUCAGAGCUGGGAACAGCACAGGAACGCUUUCCUUGGUGAGAAAGGGUUUCAAAUCCUUUUCCUCUUAAGAAUUUUUGGAUUUAGAGGCUCUAAUGAGUUGCAAUGCAGGUGACAUCCUUUUGCAGUAUGCUUUAGCUCCAGAACAUGUCCACCUUGUUGAGAUGGAGCUUGUGCUUCUUGAAGACUGAAGAAGAACUGCAGCACUUCUACUCAGCCAAAUGAGCUGUGCCGGGGGGAAUCAAAUUGCUACUCCUGGAAGACACUUGUCUUCACUGAUACAAAUUUUAAAGCGUCUUAUAGAAUUCACUCAUCACCCCACAUCUGUCCCCUUGUCAGUUGGGCUUGAUCAGUAUUACUCGGUUCCUUUGUAGAGAUUUAAAAGCUUCCCAUUCUUCCUUUGAAAUGUGGGAAUAAAUCGCAUAUUGGGUUUUGCAAAGUGAGUGAACGGCCCCUUUCAACUAGUCAGCAAAAAGUUUCAAUAGAGGAAUUAAGGCCGAUGGAGAAGGAAAUGUGAUUCUGGGCUUAAAAGUUGUUUUUGGUGCAGACUUCUAGAAACCCAGUGCAUACAUUCAUUGUGUGAGUAAUAAUGGAAAAGAAAUGUCUUAAACAAAUACCUUUUGUAGGAUAAGUUUAAUGCCACAAUCAUAUUACUUGGGUUGACUGCAGAAAUGGGAAUGCAAAUGAUAAACCUUUCCCAACAACACUAAUCUGAGAGGAGCUCUCUGGGAAGAAUAGCUUCUGAAAUAUUGUACACAAUGAAAUAUUGUGUCCUUCUCUACCCCCAAGGUUGAGGUCUUCUUCCCCUCUUCGGGCAAGUGGCACUAGUCGGAUUACAGUGCAAUCAUAACAACUAAAGAUGGAAAAAGCUAUUGGGCCAUUUAAUCUCUUCCCCUGCUAGUAGAGGAUUACUCCUGAAGCACGUUCUUCAAUGCCUCAUCCAGUGCUGGGUGACUGGAGCAAUAGGUUUCCAUCAUUUUUUAGGGAGAUUAUCUUUUAGAUAAGACCCUAAUGACCUAUGUCCUAACUACUCUGCUAGAAUCCUCAAAGCAGGAUUCCUCAAAGUUGGGCUUAAGUACAGCUGUGUGCAUGCAUUUGCCUGUAUUUAUUUUUAAAAUCAAACUUAGGACUGUCACAGUGAUUUUGAUUAAAGUUUUUAACAGCUCUUUGGUCAGAACUCCCUUCUCUCCCACAGCUGUGUUACAUGUAAAGUAACUAUUUGCCCAUUUGGUUUCAAUCCAUGUGUAAGUACAUGUUGGAGGUUCCUCUGCAAGUUUUUAGUUUGUAAAGAACUUCAGGAUCUUUAAAACUCCAAUCAUCCGUUAAUGGAGAGUUUGACUAAAAUUUUCUCUCCAGUUCAUAUGGUGUAAUUUGCUCUCUUAAAGAGCUGUAGAAAAAUUUGGACCUAUUUACUGAUUAAUUCAUUGCUCUUUUUAACUUUUUCAUCUAUGUGGUCAGAUUUUUUUUGGUGUUAGGAGUUGUUCUGUUAUUUUGACAGCAACUCACAUCUUGCUCACCAAAUUAUAAUUGUGAAGUUAUUGCUAUUUUUAAAUCUAAAGCUUGGUAUGAUAUUUUGUUUUCCUACUCCUUUACUGCAUUUCCUUCAUAUUAUUUUUACUACUGUGCAUACCCUAUUGUGUGUGCAGGAAUACAUAUAGGGCCAUCAGUGUUCUAACUUCUCUACUGUGUUUUAAAGCAAGUACCCAGAGAACUGCAAUUCCGCGGUCAUUAGAAACUUGUUUUACUUUGAAUAGGAAGAGAAUAACAACAUAAGCAAUAUAACAUACAAUGAAGUAAUGGUUCCUUUCUCCCCUAGUGAAGAGAGGUCAGAUCUUCCUUCCUUCCUCAGACAGUGGAGCAGUCAGAUUAUUAGUGAAUUCUAAUAAUGAAAACGGGGAAGAAGUUAAUAUAUGUAUGAACUGUCAUGUAUUUAAGCUUUAGACAUGUAGGAUCAGGAUGUAAAUUGAUACUAUACUGUUGAAGACUUUAUGAAAGGAAAAGGUGUUAGGUGCUCAGAUUUAACAGGAAUCUUUUUUAUGUUGUUCAUGGGUUUGCAUCUGGAUCUGCAGUUAUUUAUUAGAAAAGAGGACUGGCCCUUUUUGUUCCUAUAAUAGAAAAUAUAUUUUAAGGAGGAUUAGAAUGUUCAAACAGUUUCAGACAGACACCCUGCCUGAGAAUAAGGUCGUAUGGGAUUGUGUCAACAAACUGUGAUGGUCUUGCAUGUUGAGUGGCCAGAGAUUCAUAAGAUGGAGCAAAAAGGAUGAAAAAUUCAAGGUCAGUAGCAAGUUGGUCAGAUAAAUUAUUUCCUUUUUUUUUUCUAAAAGGGAAUAAGAAACUAUAUGUGAUUAUGAAUAAUGUCUACUCAUUAGAUAAGGUGACUGUGGUUUGUCCGUGCUGAUUCCGGCUCAUUAGUUUGUUUCUUUGAUAUUGUAGAACACUCAUGAGCUUUUUCUGAUAAUUAAUUAUGUACAAAUUUUCACCCAAGUCUUCAACAAUUUUUUGUCAUUAAACGUAUGAAAAAAAGAAACAAUUUUCUAUUAUUAAACAUCCAUUUAUCUAAUACAGACUUGACUAUUAAAAAGAAGUCCAAGGCGUAAUGCCACAGAAAUUUCAGACAGCUGAAUUUUUCGUAAUUGAACGUGGCAAUUUUCUAACACUGGAAAUCAGGAAUAUCAGGAAAAUGGGUGCCAGCAAUAGGCAGGACUGAUUGAUUUCAUUACAGGCUGCUGAGGCAGGCUGAACACUUGUGUGUAGAAGCUGGACAUGCAGCAGUAAAUAAACGGGAGCUUUCUUUGGCCCCGAGGCCAGCUGGCGCGGCCUGGCACGGCUCAAACCCACGCGGCUUAAUUUUCUCUGUCCCCUAGAAGAGCAGCUUCAUCCCCUGCUGCUUAUUGGCAGUGGUCCUCAGUCUACACCAACCCCUGAACUGUGCCCAGACCUUGUCAGGGAAAAACGAGACACUUGGCAGAGGUCGGAACUGUGCCACGCGCCGCGCCAGCAGUGUUCCCAGCAUGGGUGAUUGGCCGGAGCGCAGGCGGCUCUCCGGGCUCUGCCUCGCUUUCCAAACCAGGCUGCAGUCCUACGUGCCCAGUCUCAUACUAAGCUGCACAUGCACAAUUUUAUUGACUGCAAAACUAUAGAAGAAUAAAUAAUUUUCUUUUUUUUUCUUUUUUUUUUUCUUUUUUGAAGCUACGACAACUUUAGAGGUAUUCCUGACAUAACCUAAGAGAUAGCAGGGGAAAGACCGAGAUACUGGAGAGACCAAGCAAAGUGUAUAAAUGAUGCAAGAGAUGCUUUGCUUAGGAUAUAUAAAUAGAAGGAGAAAUCCAAUGAAAAGCACAUUAAAGCGAAAAAAAACCCAGCUGGACCUAGUUUCUCUAUUCCUAAAUUGUAUCUUCCAGGAGAAAAUGUUCCCAAGAAUGUUAAUAAUUUUUCUCAAAUCUGCUGAAAAUAUUUAGCAAGUCUGAUUAAGUCAAGGAUAAAUUUAGUUAUCCCCAUAGCUGGUUUGAUCUCAAUUGCAUUUUUGAUUGCUUGGUUGUAAUUGCCAUUUUUAUUUUAUUGUAUCUCUAAUAGGUGCAAAGUUUCUUUUAAUUUAGUGGUAUCUAACUUACCUUGCAGUGUGUUUUGGUUCUAAGCAAUUUCAGUCUUAAGCAUACUUAAUUCCCUUCUGAGAUCCUCCAUCACUAACAACACAAGAUCAAAUAACCAACUAAUUAAAAUUUAUGUCCAUCUUCUAUUGAAGUCAUCAUUCAUAUCCCCUUGAGUAGGUGAUUUCUGACUGUGUGAUCCCACAGGAAUAUUUUUAUGUCUACAGUAAUAUGUGAGUGUGGAAAUGUGGAGUUUAUUCUGCUUCAUUCCUGUGUAAAUGGAAAAGGUUUCAAUUAAAGGGUUAGUAUUAUUUUUUUUCCAGUUUUCAGAUAUACUGUGCAAAAAUGUAGCUAAAUUUGUCUUGCUUCAAGGAAUCAGUGUAAAGUUUUAUAUGUAUCAUUUUCUCGUUAAAAUGCACAUCAGAUAAAAUAAACAUCAUCUUUCAAAAUCCAA